rnacentral:rRNA from 1 species
UCUUCUACCUAUGAUGGCUUUUUUAUAUCCCAGGAAAAGUAUAUCCAGGAUCUUGUUGCUCGUGCUGCUAUUACUGACGAGCGCAUUGUUGAGACUCCUAUGGAGCUCAAUGUUCACCUUCGUGCUACUGAUGGUGAUCCUCUCCCUGACCCGACGCGUUAUCGUCAUCUCGUUGGCAGUCUUGUCUAUCUAGCUGUCACUCGUCCGGACAUCUCUUAUCCGGUUCAUAUUCUGAGUCAGUUUGUCUCUGCUCCCACAUCGGUUCACUAUAGUCAUCUCCUUCGUGUUCUCCGAUAUCUUCGGGGCACGAUCUCUCACCGUCUAUUCUUUCCUAGCUCCAGUUCUUUACAGCUUCAGGCCUAUUCGGAUGCUACGUGGGCUAGUGAUCCUUCUGAUCGCCGUUCACUUUCUGCUUACUGUGUUUUUCUUGGCGGUUCUCUCAUUGCCUGGAAGACGAAGAAACAGAUUGCAGUUUCCCGUUCGAGUGCUGAGGCUGAGUUGCGAGCCAUGGCUCUUUUAACGGCAGAGGUGACUUGGUUACGGUGGUUACUUCAGGAUUUUGGUGUUUCUGUCACU